UUAUGCUAGGAUGUGAUGGGGAAGCCCUCCUGGGCGAAGUAGCUGAUUUCACACUGUCAAGAAAAGCUUCUAUCGAGUUUAAAGGCGCCCGUACCGUAAACCGACACAGGUGGGUGAGGAGAGUAUCCUAAGGCCAGCGAGAGAACUAUUGUUAAGGAACUCGGCAAAAUGACCCCGUAACUUAGGGAGAAGGGGUGCCUGUCUAUGACAGGCCGCAGAGAAUAGGCCCAAGCGACUGUUUACCAAAAACACAGGUUUCUGCUAAGUCGCAAGACGAUGUAUAGGAGCUGACGCCUGCCCGGUGCUGGAAGGUUAAGGGGAUCUGUUAGAGCAAUCGAAGCAGUGAACUUAAGCCCCAGUAAACGGCGGCCGUAACAAUAACGGUCCUAAGGUAGCGAAAUUCCUUGUCGGGUAAGUUCCGACCCGCACGAAAGGCGUAACGAUUUGGGCACUGUCUCAACAAUAGACUCGGUGAAAUUGUAAUCCCGGUGAAGAUGCCGGGUACCUGCGACAGGACGGAAAGACCCCAUGGAGCUUUACUGUAGCUUGACGUUGGGUCUUGGUACUACAUGUACAGGAUAGGUGGGAGACUAUGAAGCAUGGACGCCAGUCUGUGUGGAGUCAUCCUUGGGAUACCACCCUUGUAGUACUGGGAUCCUAACCAUAGGCCUUGAAUCAGGUCUUGGAACACCGUCAGGUGGGCAGUUUGACUGGGCCGGUCGCCUCCUAAAAAGUAACGGAGGCGCUCAAAGGUUUCCUCAGCACGGUCGGAAAUCGUGCGAAGAGUGUAAAGGCAAAAGGAAGCUUGAUUGCAAGACAUACAGGUCGAGCAAGGACGAAAGUCGGACUUAGUGAUCCGGUGGUACCGCAUGGAAGGGCCAUCGCUCAACGGAUAAAAGCUACCCUGGGGAUAACAAGCUUAUCUCCCCCAAGAGUCCACAUCGACGGGGAGGUUUGGCACCUCAAUGUCGGCUCAUCACAUCCUGGGGCUGUAGUAGGUCCCAAGGGUUGGGCUGUUCGCCCAUUAAAGUGGUACGCGAGCUGGGUUCAGAACGUCGUGAGACAGUUCGGUCCCUAUCCGUCGCAGGCGUAGGAAAUUUGAGAAGACCUGUCCUUAGUACGAGAGGACCGGGAUGGACGUACCUCUGGUGUACCAGUUGUUCUGCCAAGGGCAUGGCUGGGUAGCUAUGUACGGAAUGGAUAAGCGCUGAAAGCAUCUAAGCGCGAAGCCAACUUCAAGAUAAGAUUUCCCACCGUAAGGGUAAGACCCCAGGAAGACUACCUGGUUGAUAGGUCGAAGGUGUAAGUGCAGUAAUGUAUUUAGCUUAUCGAUACUAAUAGGUCGAGGACUUGACCU
rnacentral:rRNA from 1 species